CAAGAAAGUCAAAGACAAAACAACGUUUAUAUGAAGCUAAAAUCUUGGUUUAAAAGCUCUCAAGAUAUUAGUUUGUUGGCUUUUGAAUACGUGGUAAGUAAAAUGAAUUUCUAUAUAUUUUUAACCACGUUUAUCGGCAUUAUUGUGAGUUUGAAAGCAAAAUAAUUCUCGAAUGCGAAUUUCAAUGGGCGGACCCACCCAACUUUCUGCUUCAGCCGUCUUCGACGUUUUGCGCCUUGCAGCCCUUGCUUAUCACUAAAACUCGUGUUUGAACAGAUAUUUCGUUGCCGUUUAGACUUCAAGUAUGUCUGAGUAUAUUUUUAAACAACUAUGGUUCAAAUUCGCUGGCUUUUUAUUGAAAAUUUUCGCCUAAAGUGACCUCGUGCUUUGCGAGCGCCAUUUUGAGCAAUACAUGUCACAAUUUGUUUAAACUACAAGGGUCUUUAAAAGAGUAUUCUAGCUUUAAAUACAACUAUUUUAUCUUAUAUUGGACAUUUUACACAGAUAGUUUCAAGUUUAUUCAUAGUAUUAUAUAAUAAAUUCCUCGGUUUGUGUCGGAAUUAAACCUUGGUCCGACGACAGUACGCUUUAUAAUUUUUUAUGAAAAUCAAAACCCAGCUACAUAUUAACAUGCAGUUUUCACACAAAAAUCCUUUCAUCCAAUUAGUUAAUACGGUAGCUGACUACUCCGUGAGCAUUUCAAGUGUUUUAAGAGGCAAAAUAACACAAAAUAACACUAGUUAAAUAUUGUCAAUUUAAAUACAAUCAUCAUUGAUGCUGUAAAAUCGACGCCAUUUUUAUACAGCAAUAUAUUAAGAAAAACUUCCUGAAGUUCAGACAUCGUUUUCUCUUUGCGUACCAUCUAGAAUCUCUACAUUUUAGCAUAAUUUUACAAAUAAAGCAUGUACUAAACAUAAUUUUAAAUUUGUGAAACGUAUCAAAAAUUUAAAAUAUUGAAUAUAGUCUUAUAACCAAGUGCAAAAGUAUAUUUAUUUUUGAGCGCGUGUUACGUAACAUACAAAAGAUUCAAUUCUUAAUAUUCUUCAUUCAUAUUAUUCCAGCAGAAUCCUUCUCGACCUUGACGAUGCAGAAACGUAGAAAUCCUCGAGGACUCGGUCAACACAUGCCAUCUUCUCAUGCGAGUCGAGAAACAUCCGUCAAUGGGUGCGGUUCACCAAAUACAAAAGUGGGUGUUGUCCACUUUUUCAUAAAAUAAUUGCUACUGAACGAAGAUGAUUGUUACAAUUGAGGACUUGAAUCACCUUGUUAAUGCAUGCGCUACCGCCAUGAAGUAGUGCAGGGCUGGAAUGCAAAA